rnacentral:rRNA from 1 species
GAGUUUGAUCGUGGCUCAGAACGAACGCUGGCGGCGCGUCUUAAACAUGCAAGUCGAACGAUCUGUAGCAAUACAGGGAGUGGCGGACGGGUGAGGAACACGUAGGAAUCUACCUAGAAGAGCGGGACAACCUUGGGAAACCGGGGCUAAUACCGCAUAGUACAGUGAUGUUAAAGGGCUAGCAAUAGUCGCUUCUAGAUGAGCCUGCGGUCUAUCAGCUUGCUGGCGGGGUAACGGCCCACCAAGGCGACGACGGAUAGCCGGUCUGAGAGGAUGAUCGGCCACACUGGCACUGAGACACGGGCCAGACUCCUACGGGAGGCAGCAGUUAAGAAUCUUGCGCAAUGGACGAAAGUCUGACGCAGCCACGCCGCGUGAGUG